AGAAUCAAGAGCUCAGUCAAAACGCUGCUUCCGGGUUGGCAGAAGAACUCAACUCCUUUCUUCCUUUCCUUGAAAAGCACAGGGCAUCAGCUGACUUCGUCUUCUGUGCUUCCUGUCCAGGACGGAGGAGCAGUAGUCUCUUGUAAGUACUUAGAGAGCCUUUGUCAGGUCCAAGCUGGGCUCCCAAGAUGACCUGGUGUGUCUCCUGCAACCUCAUCCACCAUGUAGAAGGUGACGGGAGAGUUCUCAUUGGGCACCCAGAGUCAGUCCUGCAGCAGUGCCCCAGCAGGGUUGUCUGAGCAGAGCUGUGUAUCUCAGCAGAGCUCAGAGAGAGAAAUGAGCAAUAGCAAGGGUAUUGUUGCUUCUUAAGAGCUGAUUUAUACAGCACCGAGUGCAAAGCUAAGUGUCACAACUAUCUGUUCACGUGAGAAAAUGAAGAACUCCAUACUCUGUCACCCAGGGAAAAUAUAUUUUCAGUUGAAUUACAACCUGCCUUUUCUACUUUUUUCUGCUGUCAAAAUUCUAAUGUUCUUUGUGGAAUUGGGGAUGUUAAACAAUUGGCCUGGGCCUGAAAACUCCAACCACGUCAAAGUCCCAGUCCUGAAUGAGGCAGCAAUUGGCUCCUUUUCCAAUAAAAUCUUCUCCUGGAGAGUGAUGGUUUACUUCAGAGAAGUUUUAGGGGCAUUCACUGCAUACCGUGACUAUUCCUCCUGGCAGAAAUGACUGCCAUGCAUACCUCCUAAAGAGAAGCCAACGGGAAGGCUGAGGAGUAGCCGAGUUGCUGGAAACAGAUAUCACAGAUCCUGAUAGUGGGUUUGCAUUCAAUCCAAGCCAUAAUUUCAUUACCCUGUGGACAGUCAGCAAGCUAGAUUGUCGGAUGCUUCCCCCUCUUUGCCCCCACUCUAAAAAAACUAAGAAACCCUUCCUAAAUGCAGAGUAGUACAAAAUAAAAGGAGCAUUUACUCAGAUGAAAGUACCUGAAUGAUGAUGUGGGCAUGGAUGUUCACGUUCAGUAUAUUCAUAACAGCUAAUAUCUGGGAUGUCCUCAGGCGUCCAUGCAAAAGUGGACAGAUGAAAAGGUAGUGGUAUGCCUGUGCAAUGGAUCAUUUCUAAACAGCAAAGAGUUGGUUGCGCCACCCAGAUAGAGUGCAAAAAACACUAAACCUGAACAAAGUCAGACAAAAGAAUACAAUACUAGUUUACAAGACUCC
rnacentral:lncRNA from 1 species